rnacentral:rRNA from 1 species
AAUGAACGCUGGCGGCGUGCCUAACACAUGCAAGUCGAGCGUGAAAGUCCUUCGGGAUGAGUAAAGCGGCAGACGGGUGAGAAACGCGUGAGAAUUUACCAUUCAGUGAGGAAUACCCUCGAGAAAUCGAGGUUAAUACUGCAUACGUCCUACGGGAGAAAGGUGGCCUCUUGCUGCCGCUGAAUGAUUAGCUUGCGUACUAUUAGCUAGUUGGUAGGGUAAAGGCCUACCAAGGCGAUGAUGGUUAGCCGGCCUGAGAGGGUGUACGGCCACACUGGAACUUAGACACGGUCCAGACUCCUACGGGAGGCAGCAGUGGGGAAUAUUGCGCAAUGGGCGAAAGCCUGACGCAGCGACGCCGCGUGGAGGAUGAAGGUCUUCGGAUUGUAAACUUCUGUUAAGUGGGAAGAAAUGCCCAUCUCUAAUACAGAUGGGAAAUGACGGUACCAUUAGAGAAAGCACCGGCUAACUUCGUGCCAGCAGCCGCGGUAAUACGAAGGGUGCGAGCGUUAUUCGGAAUCAUUGGGCGUAAAGGGUGCGUAGACGGUAUAUUAAGUCUGUUGUUAAAUGCCUCGGCCUAACCGAGGAGUUGCGGUGGAAACUAAUAUGCUAGAGGGUGGAAGAGAGAAGUGGAAUUCUCGGAGUAGCGGUAAAAUGCGUAGAUCUCGAGAGGAACACCAAUGGCGAAGGCAACUUCUUGGUCCAUACCUGACGUUGAGGCACGAAAGCGUGGGGAGCAAACAGGAUUAGAUACCCUGGUAGUCCACGCUGUAAACGAUGAUCACUAGAUGUCAGUUUUGUUUUACAGAAUUGGUAUCGCAGCUAACGCGUUAAGUGAUCCGCCUGGGGACUACGAUCGCAAGAUUAAAACUCAAAGAAAUUGACGGGGGCCCGCACAAGCGGUGGAUCAUGUGGUUUAAUUCGACACUACGCGAGGAACCUUACCUGGGCUUGACAUGUACUUGACAGCUCUAGAAACAGAGUCUUCUGAGCGAAAGCUUAGACAGGUACACAGGUGCUGCAUGGCUGUCGUCAGCUCGUGUCGUGAGAUGUUGGGUUAAGUCCUCUAACGAGCGCAACCCUUGUCGUCAGUUGCAACUGCUUAUGCAAGGCACUCUGACGAGACUGCCUGGGAAACCAGGAGGAAGGUGGGGAUGACGUCAAGUCCGCAUGGCCCUUAUGUCCAGGGCUACACACAUGAUACAAUGGCUAGUACAAAGAGCUGCGAACUCGCAAGAGCAAGCUAAUCUCACAAAACUAGUCUAAGUUCAGAUUGAGGUCUGCAACUCGACCUCAUGAAGUUGAAAUCGCUAGUAAUCGCGCAUCAGCAACGACGCGGUGAAUACGUUCUCGGGCCUUGUACACACCGCCCGUCACGUCAUGAAAGCUGUUUGUACCCGAAGUUGCCUUAGCUAACCCUUACGGGAGGCGGGCACCUAAGGUAUGGGGAGUGAUUGGG